AUUUCCCGUCCCAGUGGAAACGAGCUGAGCUUACUGGCUACUCUCUCUAAAUUGCUCGAAAGAGUCUUUUUACGUAGAGUGCUGCCAGUAUUGAAUGAGGCUGGUUCGAUCCCAGACCAUCAGUUCGGCUUCAGGCGACUCCACGGAACACCGGAACAGUGCCAUAGGUUAGUAGAGCGAAUAAUGCAGGCGUUCGAAGAAAAGAAGUACUGCUGUGCGGUCAUGCUCGACGUGAAGCAAGCCUUUGAUAGGACAGUUUUACACUAAGUGCGGUGAUGCUAUUUCAUCUAUAAAGAACAUCAGAGCCGGAGUCCCACAAGGCAGCGUUCUGGGACCUCUGUUAUACACGGUGUACACAGCCGACAUGCCUGUCACCCCGGAUCAGAGCCUCUUGGUUGCCACGUACGCGGAUGAUACUGCCUUUCUUACAACUGCCAACACACCGCAGUACGCGUCCUCCGUUAUGCAGCGUCAAUUGGACUCCCUAAACAGCUGGCUGAAAAGGUGGAACAUCGCGGUAAACCAGGAAAAGUCCACCCAUACCACCUUUACGCUGCGCAAAGGGAACUGCCCUCAAGUUUUCCUAGAUGGAUUACAGAUUCCGGUAAGCACAACGCCCAAUUAUCUUGGCAUCACACUCGACAGACGGCUGACAUGGCGUGAACACAUUGUGCGCAAAAGAAA